rnacentral:rRNA from 1 species
AAGGGCACCACAAGAACGCGUGGAGCAUGUGGCUUAAUUUGAUUCAACGCGGGGAACCUUACCGGGUCCGGACACACUGAGGAUUGACAGGCGAAAAAAUUAUGCUAGUCCUUUCAUGAUUGUGUGAUAGGUGGUGCAUGGCCGUUCUUAGUUCGUGGAGUGAUCUGUCUGCUUAAUUGCGCUUCAGAUUUAAUGGUUUACUUUGAUUACUCUAAGUUAUUCUUUGAAUUUCUAUUGUUUUCAAGUAUUCCUAUGAAAGCAACGAACGUGACCGAGUCUCCUUGUUACCUUUCUUAUUAUCUUUAUGACAAUAUAAAAGGCAAACUAGGGGGACUGCAAGGGUUUUUCACCCUGAGGAAGGACUCGGCAAUAACAGGUCUGUGAUGCCCUUAGAUGUUCCGGGCUGCACACGUGCUACAAUGAUUACCACACCGUGCAUCUCUGGAUAUUAUUGAACAUGAUUAUACUUGUAUAUGAUUGUUCCACAAUGAAUAUUAAUCUUUUUUGAUUAAUUGAAAUUGUGUGCCCUACCUCGACAGUGCGGUAGGCAAUCAAUUCCAAAUGGUAACAUCCCUCGCGCACAAAUCAAGUUGAGUGUUGUAUUGACUCUUUGAUGAUAUACUCAUUCACUGUGCUCCAUUUUAACUCGUGGUCGGGACUGAGGGUUGCUAAUUAUCCCUCACGGUUCCAACUAGGAAUGCCUUGUACGGGCCUCUGGUUCAACAGACCGCCCGGAAUACGUCCCUGCCCUUUGUACACACCGCCCGUCGCUCCUACCGAUGGACUCUGCUGUGAGUCUAUGGGACCCGUCUUUCAAUUUUAGAAGGAUUAGGAACAUAGACGAACAGUGAGGUCUAAAGGAAAGAGAAGUCG